CAGGCGCAGUGGGAAGAGUCCAGGAUCAGGAGGGCACCUGUGCACUGGGACUGUAUCCACCUCAAAACAAUUACAAAUGAAUCACAGUGUGAACAAACCCAAACAUUUUACGCUGAGUUUUGAAAGAGUGAGGACCAUGCAGGAGCGUUCUGGAACAGCAGCAGCUGUCUGAUUGACAUGUGGACCUGUGAAGACACUGUUGCUGCAAUCAAUUCGACUAAAGAUAAAUGCAUGGAUGAGUUUUUCAAGAUCCUGUUGGAACAAUUGUUCUUUACUCCCGGAAAUGUUCUUCAGGUGAUAGAUAUGGAUCUUGCUCCCUUGUUCCCUGUGUGUUCUAUUAGCCAUUUCUCCCAUUUAUUAACUCCGAGUUGUGAUUUGCUUCUUUAUCCUGUUGUGUCUAAAAGUGAAAUAAUGUGUUUGCUUGCUUUCCUUUUGUCUGUUUUUUUUUUAUUAUUUAAAAAAAGUGCAGGAUCCUGAAGCUAUUCAUAUGGUUUCACUGCAGGUUUUUUUUUUUUUUUAACUUUUUUUUUUUUUAUUUAAAACAUUUACGUAUGAGAAAAAUGCUCUUAUGUUUUGCUUUAACAAAAUAUUUUUGUUAUCUUCUAUUUUCUUCUUAAUUUUAUCCAGACUUUUUAAUAAUACUGUUGGUUUUAUUGUUAAACAUAAGAUCAUUUUUAAGUUAUUUUAAUCUGCCCUCUUUAUUUUCCAUCUGAUUUUGGAACCGAAGCAGCUUCUAUUUUGAAAGACUGUUUCCGGUGUAGUUGACGUCAGUUUUACUUGUCUGUCCAUGAAAGCCAGCGGCCGUUUCUAGAACACAAAUGCAGAGCCUCGUCAUCUUCUAAAUGGAGCUCCUUUACACAUGCUGUCGCAGGUGAGAGGUGAACGCGGGUCACGUUUUACCUGCAUGACGUCAUCGUGGAAAACUGACACCUGUCAGGAAAAAAGGAAGUGAACACACAGUAGCCUGCAUGGAAAAAAUGGUGUUUAACUUGCAACUAAUCUUAUCUUUUAGAUAGAUUCAAUUUUUAUUUAAGUUAUAAGAAAAUAUCUUCCAUUUUCCAAAAUAUCUUCAUUUUUGUAUGUACUAUGUAUGUACACGUGGCUUUUAUUUUGGAAAAUAGAUUUAAAAAGAUUAUUUAAAUGUUAUAAAACACCUCAUUGUAUUUUAUUGGGAUUGAUUGGGAUGGACCGACACAUAGCAGUACAUUGUUUGAAGUGGUAGGAAAAUUAUUCACAGUCCUUUACUCUGAUACCCCUAGAUAUAAA